rnacentral:rRNA from 1 species
GUAUAAGAGACAGCAGCCGCCACGGUAAAACGUAGGGUGCAAGCGUUAAUCGGAAUUACUGGGCGUAAAGCGUGCGCAGGCGGUUUGUUAAGACAGAUGUGAAAUCCCCGGGCUCAACCUGGGAACUGCAUUUGUGACUGGCAAGCUAGAGUGUGGCAGAGGGGGGUGGAAUUCCGCGUGUAGCAGUGAAAUGCGUAGAUAUGCGGAGGAACACCGAUGGCGAAGGCAGCCCCCUGGGCCAACACUGACGCUCAUGCACGAAAGCGUGGGGAGCAAACAGGAUUAGAUACCCCUGUAGUCCCUGUCUCUUAUAC